rnacentral:rRNA from 1 species
GCUGAACUUAAGCAUAUCACUAAGCGGAGGAAAAGAAACUAACUAGGAUGGCCCUAGUAAUGGCGAAUGAAGAGGCCAAAGCCCAAGAUGGUAAUCUCUGUUUUUCAAACAGCGAGUUGUAAUCUUGAGAGGCAAAGCUCAACGGGUCGUGGCGCAGAAGUGCCUCUGGAACGGACCGCCAUAGAGGGUGACAGCCCCGUACGUGGUGCCGCGACUUACCCAGCUUGUCUUCGAAGAGUCGGGUUGUUUUGUAUUGCAGCCCUAAGCGGGAGAUAAACUUCUUCUAAGGCUAAAUAUAUGUAGGAAACCGAUAGCGAACAAGUACUGUGAAGGAAAGAUGAAAAGCACUUUGGAAAGAGAGUUAAAAGACCUGAAAUCGUUGAGGCGGAAGGGGUAGAGAAGUAUACUUCGGCACCAAGCGGGGCUAACUUGUUUGGGGUCGUGAGGCCUGAUGGGGUAGUUUUGAUGCAGAGGCUUCGCGGGACCGCCUUCGGGCACCUUCCGUGUUUGUCGGUAUCAAUUCUGCCUGAGGGUGCCUUGUGCGAUCAGGUCAAAAUGGUCUUUACCCACUCGUCUUGAAACACGGACCAAGGAGUCUAA